UUCUGCUUGGGGAGGUUUGUCUUUCAGAAAUGACUACGGGAGUCACUAGACAGACAGAGCAAAAGACAGAGAGAUCCAUGUUCCAAAAUUAAGAACAGAUUGGACAGUUCUGAUUUGUAGACAUGGUCACUAAUUUGAAGAACGAGAAUUCUCAGCUUUUCUGAAGCUUCCGUUUUUGCAAAAUUCAGUAUAUGAGUCAUAUGGUGGAAGAAGACGUAUUAUAAAGGUGAAACUCCAUCCAACUGAAGUCCAUCCAUAUUUCUACACCUUCUUUGCCUGUAAGUGAGAACUUUCAAUCACAUGAGGGGGCCAGAAGAGGGCAUUGGAUCCCUGGAAUUGGAGUUAGUGGUAAUUGUAAGCUGCUAUAUGUAUGCUGGGACCAAACCCAGGUCCUCUCCAAGAGCAGUGGUAAUUCGACUUUCCAUGAAAUCUUGUUUUCUAAUGCAUUAAUAGGCAAAUGUACAUAUUACUAUGUAAUAUUUUGUAUUUUGAUAACACUGUAUGAAAAUGAUGGGUCUUCACUGUCAUCUGUUUUAUUUUAUGCACUUAAAAGCACUCUUCUGAGACCAUAGACCUCGUACUUCUUGUCACAAGAAAAUAUUAUUUAUUCAUAUGAUUAAUUGUUCACAGAUAUGCAAAAUUAAUCCUAUUGGUUCUAUAUUUAUGCUUUCUCUAUCUUUUAUGUCCAGUCUAAUUGUUUCUGUGAGUAUGACAGUUUACUUUGUUAUGAUAUAUAAAGGAUUAGACAAUAAUAAUAUACACAUAAUCUUAAAAUUUUUAUGGUCAUAGUUUAGUCAACUAGUUUAAGGAACAAAAUAUGUA